UUUGGAUUGCAGGUGUCUGUGAAUCUGUUCUGAUCAGUCAAUGGCCCAGAUACAUCUCCAGUAUUUCCAGUGGUCGUGCAGAAAUACACUGCUACCAGAACGACACAGAUUAUGACUAUCUGUACUGGAGAAAGAUGAGGCUGUGUAUCUGUGUGCUGCCAGUCACACAGUGCAGCGACAGACCCAAGAACUGUGACAAAAACACACAGCAGAGAGGAUGCUGAUUGUUCUGACACCUGCCUUUUGUGUUAAUGUUUGGAUUAAAGACAAAACCACAUGGUAGAAAAGAUCGUAUCUGCAUCUCUUACGGUUUUUACCUCAAUAAUACACCAUAAAAACAAACUACUUGACCUAAAAUAAAAAUCGGUACAACAAUUUUCAUACAUUUUAAUUUGGUAAAUUUUAAUCAGUAUUUCUGAUUGUGGCCAGAUUAAAAGCAAAAGGCACUUCCGUCACAUCCCUUGCCUUACAGUACUUACUCGACAGAAUUUGUCAAAUUGUAACACAUUUGGUGCCGUGGAGGUUGCUGCAUGUGUUAUACUAUUCAUUCUGUAUUAUUUCCUUAAGUGUCUCCUCUGAAUCUAAACACUGAACAGCAGAGACCAGUAACAACACUUGUUAAUCGCUGUAAGCUCCUCCUACCUAAAAAUGUACAAUCAAUGAUUUCCCUCUAGUUUGUUCUUCCACAUAAU